AUUGAACGCUGGCGGCAGGCCUAACACAUGCAAGUCGAACGAGUGGCGGACGGGUGAGUAAUGCCUGGGAAACUGCCUGAUGGAGGGGGAUAACUACUGGCAACGGUAGCUCAUACCGCAUACCAUCGGAUGUGCCCAGAUGGGAUUAGCUAGUAGGUGGGGUAACGGCUCACCUAGGCGACGAUCCCUAGCUGGUCUGAGAGGAUGCCAAGCCACACUGGAACUGAGACACGGUCCAGACUCCUACGGUAGGCAGCAGUGGGGAAUAUUGCACAAUGGGCGCAAGCCUUAUGCAGCCAUGCCGCGUGUAUGAAGAAGGCCUUCGGGUUGUAAAGUACUUGCAGCGGGGAGGCGUUACCCGCAGAAGAAGCACCGGCUAACUCCGUGCCAGCAGCCGCGGUAAUAC
rnacentral:rRNA from 1 species